CCCGCACAAGCGGUGGAGCAUGUGGUUUAAUUCGAUGGUACGCGAGGAACCUUACCUGGGUUUGACAUACGGAGGAAGUGGCAGCGAUGUCACUGUGUCGCGAGACGACUCCGUACAGGUGCUGCAUGGCUGUCGUCAGCUCGUGCCGUGAGGUGUUGGGUUAAGUCCCGCAACGAGCGCCAACCCCUACUGCCAGUUACUAACAGGUAAUGCUGAGGACUCUGGCGGAACUGCCGGUGACAAACCGGAGGAAGGUGGGAUGACGUCAAGUCAUCAUGGCCCUUAUGUCCAGGGCUACACACGUGCUACAAUGGGCGAGACAGAGCGACGCGAAGCCGCGAGGUGGAGCAAAUCGCAAGAAAAUCGCCCUCAGUUCGGAUUGGAGUCUGAAACCCGACUCCAUGAAGUGGAAUCGCUAGUAAUCGCGCAUCAGCAUGGCGCGGUGAAUACGUUCCCGGGCCUU
rnacentral:rRNA from 1 species